GACGAACGCUGGCGGCGUGCUUAACACAUGCAAGUCGAACGGAAAGGCCCUGCAUUUGUGGGGUGCUCGAGUGGCGAACGGGUGAGUAACACGUGAGUAACCUGCCCUUGACUUUGGGAUAACUUCAGGAAACUGGGGCUAAUACCGGAUAGGAGCUCCUGCUGCAUGGUGGGGGUUGGAAAGUUUCGGCGGUUGGGGAUGGACUCGCGGCUUAUCAGCUUGUUGGUGGGGUAGUGGCUUACCAAGGCUUUGACGGGUAGCCGGCCUGAGAGGGUGACCGGCCACAUUGGGACUGCGAUACGGCCCAGACUCCUACGGGAGGCAGCAGUGGGGAAUAUUGCACAAUGGGCGGAAGCCUGAUGCAGCAACGCCGCGUGCGGGAUGACGGCCUUCGGGUUGUAAACCGCUUUCGCCUGUGACGAAGCGUGAGUGACGGUAAUGGGUAAAGAAGCACCGGCUAACUACGUG
rnacentral:rRNA from 1 species